rnacentral:rRNA from 1 species
GAUGAACGCUAGCGAUAGGCUUAACACAUGCAAGUCGAGGGGCAGCAUGGUCUUAGCUUGCUAAGACUGAUGGCGACCGGCGCACGGGUGCGUAACGCGUAUGCAACUUGCCUCACAGAGGGGGAUAACCCGUCGAAAGACGGACUAAUACCGCGUACACUUGGGAUAGGGCAUCCUGACCCAAGGAAAUGAAAUUCGCUGUGAGAUAGGCAUGCGUCCCAUUAGCUAGUUGGUGAGGUAACGGCUCAUCAAGGCGACGAUGGGUAGGGGAACUGAGAGGUUGAACCCCCACACUGGUACUGAGACACGGACCAGACUCCUACGGGAGGCAGCAGUGAGGAAUAUUGGUCAAUGGGCGAGAGCCUGAACCAGCCAAGUCGCGUGAAGGAUGACUGUCUUAUGGAUUGUAAACUUCUUUUAUACGGGAAUAACAAGAGCCACGUGUGGCUCCCUGCAUGUACCGUAUGAAUAAGCAUCGGCUAACUCCGUG